rnacentral:rRNA from 1 species
GACGAACGCUGGCGGCGUGCUUAACACAUGCAAGUCACGGGGGCUGGAGCAAUCCAGUAACCGGCGAACGGGUGCGUAACACGUGAGCAACCUGCCGUACUCAGGGGGAUAGCCGGCCCAACGGCCGGGUAAUACCGCAUACGUUCUCGCAGGGGAGUCCCUGUGGGAGGAAACCUCCGGGGGAGUACGAGGGGCUCGCGGCCUAUCAGCUAGUUGGUGCGGUAACGGCGCACCAAGGCGACGACGGGAGCUGGUCUGAGAGGAUGGCCAGCCACAUUGGGACUGAGAGACGGCCCAGACUCCUACGGGAGGCAGCAGUGGGGAAUCUUGCGCAAUGGCCGAAAGGCUGACGCAGCGACGCCGCGUGGGGGAUGAAGCAUUUCGGUGUGUAAACCCCUGUU